rnacentral:sRNA from 1 species
AAGAAUGUGGAUCCUGAGGCAAAACAAGGUUUGGAAUCAGGGUGUGUCCAAACAGAUGGACCAUAAAAGGAUUUUUUGAGAACUUCAUGCAGACAUUUGCACUUGCACCAGAAUGUUGGCAUUCAUUCUACACUCCACUGAGCCAAGCUCCCUGGGCAAGCCAUCCCCAAAUAGGACUAGGAAGUGCCAUUUCCACAUCUAGCUACUAGGAUAAAGAGUCCCACCUCUAAAUCCCCUGCCUGUGAGUUCAGAGCAUUCCAGGGGUAUCUGAAAAGAUCUUCCCAGUACAGGCCCAAUACCUCUGAGACCGUCUCAUGCUCUUCCUACCCCAGCUUUAGUCUCCUUGAUGGUGACCUGGGCCCUUGAAAACAAAAGAAGUAAAAAGUUCUUAAGAAGCCGUGGCUUUUUGUUUAGCUUCUGGUUCUUAGUGGCUUUGAGAAAAGCUGAAUUAUAGGGUUAAUUAAUUAAUUUGGGAUCAUAGAAUUCACAUCCAACAAACUGGGGAGACUGGGCUCAGAGCUGGAGAGGGGAGACUCAGAUGGAGCUUGAGAACUGUCCAAAACUACAUCCCAUUUCCCUUUGCAACUGCAAGAGCGGGAGAGACCCAUUUCUGAGUUGUGCUGAUUUGUGCUAUAGUAGACUUGGUAAUGAGAAAGCACAGUGCCUCCCUUUGUAGCCUCAAACUCCAGGCUCUCCUGUCUCAGUUCCCCAAGCAUCAGGAGGGCAGGUGUGCACUGCCACAGCGCUAGCAGGAACAGGAAGAUUUCUGUGUUCUGUUAUCUUCUUCAUGGCCUGAGGCUGAGCCUGGAGUCUCCAUGUCAGUAGCAUCUUUCAAGGCUGUUCCUCUGCAGCUCUGAAACCUUUUUUUUUUAAAUAUAAACCAAGUUUAUUUUGCCUUUUAAGUAGUGUUCAUAUAGCACUACAGCUAGGUAAACAAUGUGAAUUAGUAUACGUCAUCUCAAAAGCCAGAGUUUUGUUAUCAUUGUUGUCAUUUUUUAAUGAGUUGCGAAAAUGAUGCAGCCUAUUCUAACAGGAUAAAUAUUUUUAACCAUUUCACUUUGAGUUAAUGAAGGCUCACAAAUGAACAACACUCCUCAUUGAGGAAAACAGAAAGCUGUUCUCGACAAGGGGCAACUCACUCACACAAGCAAAAAGAACUGUGUAAAAAUAACUAACUGAUCCCAUAUUAAACGUUGACCACUGGGGAGAUGCCUGGGGAGGUUCACUGUCAGAAUAUUCAAGCACUUGGGCACCCUCUAGAGGAACAACUUGAAAACCUUCAAAACUUCAUUUGGAAAUAAGAAAAAUCUGAUUUUACCUAAGCUAUGAAAUUUUAAGCUCAGAGGUACCACUUGGACAUUUUUAUUUGGAAACCUCUUCAGAAGGUGUCUUGCUCUAAAGCACCCAUAAAAUGGGCGCAGCCACUGUCUUUGCUACUGUUCCAGUCCUUUCUGUACAGCAACACACGGACAAUCAUCUCCAGUUUCUGAACUGCAGUAAACUGUAAGCACUGCUACAGUGUGGGAUAGCUAGCUUUCCUCCUGUUCUUAGGGAUAGCAUUCUUAACAUUUGAAUGCCUGUAACAUCGCUCAUCUUUGGCCCUUCUUCCUCCCUCCUUCCUGUCCUUCUAUUUGUCUGUGCUGGACAAAGUUCUGCCAUUAGACUGUCACCCCAUAUCUGAGUUUCUUUUCAUAGGAUUAAAUCACCAAAUCAUAUAAAGUGACAUCCCCUGAGAUGACAGCUUGUUUCCAUGUCACUUCCUUAUGGCUGUUCUUUUGAGAAAGGCUCUCAAUGUACAGCCCAGACUUAACGCAACCUAGAGAUCCUCCUGCCUCUGACUCCCAGUCCACAUCGCUUUCAUCUGAAAUGAGAUUAAAAGCUCAAGUUUCAACUUUUGUCCCCAGUACUGGGAGCUUUCUCUCUUGAAGAUGCUCUGAUAAUUUAGUGGGCCAGCGUUGAUUUGAAUCAGUUUGACUUUGGGUCGAUAAAAAUUUUCACUGAGUUCAUGGACUUCAUUUCUUCUCUNUGAGAGUCUCUGAGAACCUGGUUCUUAUUUUAUUCUUCAGGGCCCAAGAGUCCAGAGAUUAGAAAUAUACCAAAGGUGAAGAUUCUAGCAAGAAACCUUGUCCCAUAAACUCAGGCCUUAAAGAGAAGGCUAAGGAUGACUUAGAAGUAAAGGCAAUGUAUUUUUACACUCUGUUCAUAGGGAGAAUAAAAAUCAGUAAGAUAGACGGAAAGAGGACACUAAAGAAAACAGAGACCUGCCCAUGAGACCUUACAGGUAUCUGUUGGUUGGGGUUCUCUGUGACCUUGUAGCCCCAACAUCAUCUCACCUGGAUGUUCUACUAACAUCAUGCCUGGUUGAGUUUACAGUUGUUUAAGAUCAGACAUAUUACCAGUGUCGUAGUCAAUGUUCUAUUGUUAUGAAGAGACACCAUGACCAUGACAACUCUUACAGAGGAAAAUUUUUAAUUGGGACUGGCUUAACAUUUUCAGGGGUGUAGUCUAUUAUUGUCAUGGGGGUGGGUGGGAACACAGGAAGCCAUGGUACUAGAGAGAUAGCUAAGACUUCUACAUUCCAAUCAGCAGGCAGAAGGAAGGGAGCAAAGACAUUAGGCCUAGCUUGACCAUUGUUAGAUUCUCUUUUUGAUCACCAAGAAACAAAUAGAUUUAGGUCUGUGGAGAUUUCCAGGCAAAUGUGGUAGUUAGGCCCUGUAAUUCUAACAACCUGGAGACAGAGAAUAAGUCAUGGUGAAGACAAACUUCAGCCCAGAGUGAGAUCCUGUGUCAAAAACAAAACAAAACAAAACAAAACAAAAACCAAAAAAACCAACAACCUACAAAGAAAAACAAAAAACCAAGAGCCUAAAGAAAUGUACCACAUCUUGAUUACAUAACCUUCUGGAUACCCUGAGAGAUUAGCUGGGGUCAGGCUAGUUGGACAAUAAAUCUUAACAGUGAACAGCACUGAUCAAUCAAUAGGCCUUGACUGUAUAUAAAGAGAAAGGGAGUGGAGCAUAAGUAUUCAUUGCUCUCUGCAUUCUCAGAGAGGAUAAUAUAUAGACAGCUGCUCAACCUGCCAUGGUGGACUGUGGCCUCCAAUUGUUGGCCAACAUACACCCAUUCAUUAAGUUGAUUCUCGGGCAUGUGAUUUAGUAAUGGGGAAGGAACUCAUGUGGUAGGACAUCUACAAAUCUGUGUGACCAGGCAGGCAUGUUAAAAAUAGGGAAAGGGUCCAGAGGAAGCUUCAUAAACAAGAGAAUCUCCAAAUUGCAGUCUUUAAGUAUACUGUAUGUACAACACCAACAUUAACA